CAGCAGCCACGGUAAUACGAAGGGUGCAAGCGUUAAUCGGAAUUACUGGGCGUAAAGCGUGCGUAGGCGGUUUGUUAAGUCUGCUGUGAAAUCCCCGGGCUCAACCUGGGAAUGGCAGUGGAUACUGGCAAGCUAGAGUGUGUCAGAGGAUGGUGGAAUUCCCGGUGUAGCGGUGAAAUGCGUAGAGAUCGGGAGGAACAUCAGUGGCGAAGGCGGCCAUCUGGGACAACACUGACGCUGAGGCACGAAAGCGUGGGGAGCAAACAGGAUUAGAUACCCCAGUAGUCCCUGUCUCUUAUAC
rnacentral:rRNA from 1 species